rnacentral:misc_RNA from 1 species
AAGUCGUAACAAGGUUUCCGUAGGUGAACCUGCGGAAGGAUCAUUACCGAGUUUACAACUCCCAAACCCAAUGUGAACGUUACCAAACUGUUGCCUCGGCGGGAUCUCUGCCCCGGGUGCGUCGCAGCCCCGGACCAAGGCGCCCGCCGGGGAACCAAACUCUUGUCUUCCAGUGUCUCCUCUGAGUGGCAUAAGCAAAAAUAAACAAAACUUUCAGCAACGGAUCUCUUGGUUCUG